CUCAUAUCUGUGCUGUGUGACUGUAGAUCUGUCUAUGAUUGAGGAAGGAUGUUAAUGAGCUCUGCGCUUGUUAACUGAAUCGGAUUUCUACUCAUUUCAAAUCCACCGAAACUCUAUAAGGGGUUUAUCAGCAGAUAUAAAGAGACACAGACAGUAUAACAGCCUCUGAUCGGACCUUUUACAUCUCUCAUAUCUGUUUCAGAUGUUCAGGCACGAGAUCAUCAUCAUCAUCAUCAUCAUCAUCAUCAUCAUCAUCAUCAUCUUCAUCAUCAUCUUCAUCACAGGAAGAACUGGGAUUCAGGAUUCUCAUCGUGUCUGCUGGGAAGUUGGACCCAGCGCUGACUGAAAUUAAGGACACGACCACCACAUAAGAAGCUUACAGUAUUUAAUCUGCAAUUCCUAAAACACACACACACACAUACACACACACACAAACACACACACUCACACAUGUUUGUUUUUGUGUAAAGUGUGUUCAUCCCAUAGGUGUAAUGGUGUUUAUUCUGUAGAAACUGUAUAUUCUCUCUCCCUUCACCAACCCUACACCUAACCCUAACCCUCACAGGAAACUUUGUGCAUUUUUCUUUCUCAAAAAAACUCAUUCUGUAUGAUUUAUAAGUGUUUUGAAAAAUGGGGACAUGGGUUAUGUCCUCAUAAGUCACCCUCUCCUUGUAAUACCUGUGUCAUACCAAUGUCAUUACACACACACACACACACACACACACACACACACACACACACACACACACACACACACACACACACACACACACACACACAGGUGGUAAUUCUGCAGGCUUGGAUUGAAUUGUAGGGUCACAUUUGUCUCCGUUGCUGCUGUGGUGGAAGUGUUGUUUAAGUCGGUUCUGAUUAUGGUCUGAAGAUGUUAGUCUAAUAGCUCUGUAUGAUGACUCUGUAUAGUGUAAGUGUGUGAAAGACUCUUUCACGUCUGGUAUUGAGGUUUUGGAGCGCUGUGAACUCAAUCCUGGUGGUUUCUGUAGAAUCUGGUCAAGGCCUCUAAAGCAGAGCGAGAAACCCCCUGUAGAUCUGACUGGAGCUAAACGCUCACCACAUCAGUGAAGCUGCUCAAAACUAGAGUGUACUUCGAUCUCAGACUCUUCAGGCUGUUCACGUCACACAGAAUUGCUUGUGCAAUAAAUGUGAAUGUGUCUGUGAGAUUAAUACAGCAUGCAUUAGUUAGAUGCUUUUAUCCAAAGUAACCCUCAUUGCAUUCAACGUUUACAUUUGAUCAGUUCAUGCAUUGCAUGGGAAUCGAACCCAUGACCUUGUGUUGCGAGCGCCAUGUUCAAACAUCAUCUGUGUAAAUCUGCUCUCUCUAACACCCUAUCAUUGGUAUUUACAGCACUGGAUACACACGCAUAAUACACACACACACACACACACAGUUCAGCCGAUUUGUCAUAAUAUGCUUUAUCUGAAAAGUAAGUAUCUUACCUCGGGAUAAAGAGGGGAAAGAGGCAUUUGUAGUGAGAUUGUGAGCAGAGGACGCGACAGAGACAGACAGCAGGAGUGAAACCGGACGAGACAUACACGUUUGUGUGAGGAGUUUGUGUUUUGGUGCAGAGAAGAACCUGUGAAGAAGCAGACAGACAGAGACGCAGGGUUCUUUACACUGGAUUCUAGAUGUUUCUUCUUCAAUGCCGCCCAGACUCUUCUAGUGUUUGAAGGAGGUUUUCAGGAUAUUUUUCCAAUUUUAUGAGACGGAUAACUCACCCAAACUGAAGAUUCUCCUAUUCAAGGCAAAACAAAAACACACACAUAACCAUACAUCCCCAGUUGAUUGACAUUAAGAAUUGCAAAAAUAAUUUGUAUAUUAUUCUUUUGUUUAAAUGUUGUCUUCAAAUGCCGAUGCACAGAUUUUCCAAAAUAAAAGUCUGAACACUGGAUAAAGCCAGGUUAAAAAUUCAA